ACAGCAGUCGCCGCGGUAAUACGGAGGGAGCUAGCGUUGUUCGGAAUUACUGGGCGUAAAGCGCACGUAGGCGGUUAUUCAAGUCAGAGGUGAAAGCCCGGGGCUCAACCCCGGAACUGCCUUUGAAACUAGAUGACUGGAAUCUUGGAGAGGUCAGUGGAAUUCCGAGUGUAGAGGUGAAAUUCGUAGAUAUUCGGAAGAACACCAGUGGCGAAGGCGACUGACUGGACAAGUAUUGACGCUGAGGUGCGAAAGCGUGGGGAGCAAACAGGAUUAGAUACCCCCGUAGCCCUGUCUCUUAUACA
rnacentral:rRNA from 1 species